GACGAACUGUUCUAACGUUAUUCGGAAUCACUGGGCUUAAAGGGCGCGUAGGCUGUUUGUUAAGCGGGGUCUGAAAUCCCUCGGCUCAACCGAGGAACUGGGCUUCGAACUGGCAGACUAGAGUGAAGUAGGGGUAAGCGGAACUUGCGGUGGAGCGGUGAAAUGCUUUGAUAUCGCAAGGAACACCGGCGGCGAAGGCGGCUUACUGGGCUUCAACUGACGCUUAAGCGCGAAAGCUAGGGUAGCGAACGGGAUUAGAUACCCGCGUAGUCCCUGAGCGGG
rnacentral:rRNA from 1 species